rnacentral:RNase_P_RNA from 1 species
AAAGAAGAACAGAUGAUCGCCGGUCCGUUUAGACGGGCGGGAGGAAAGUCCGGGCUCCGCAGGGCGGGAUGGUCCCUAACGGGGACCGGGGGCGACCCCAGGGAAAGUGCCACAGAAAAGAUACCGCCCCCCAAAGGGGGGUAAGGGUGAAAUGGCGAGUUAAGAGCUCACCAGUUCCGGUGGCGACACCGGAAGCUUGGCAAACCCCAUCCGGAGCAAGGCCAAAUAGGGAAGCGUUGGAGGACGGCCCGUCCGAAGCUUCCGGGUCAGGCCGCUUGAGACUGCCGGCAACGGCAGCCCUAGAUAAAUGAUCGUCGCCUCCUUUUCGGGCAACCGGGAGGAGGAACAGAACCCGGCUUACGGUCUUCUUUGGCC